AAACUUGGACCAAAAUACCCCUGCGUGGGUAGUUAUCCUAGUUGUAGCUGUAGGGGUAGUUUUAUCUUUCGUCCUGAACUAUAAAUAGGGAUCGGGGGCUGGUUAUUUCAGCACCUCUUUGCUUAGCAACUCGUUAUCUUUUGGCUUAGAGGCAAGUCAUGUGCUUAAAGUGAGAGAAAAGAGGGAGAUUAGAGAGUGAUUACUCUUUUCUCUUAAUUUCUUCAUCUUUUAGUGGGUGGAUGAAGGGAGGAGGCUAGCCCUCUUUUGUAUAGAAGAUGUUCUCGUGAUUUAGCUUUAUUUGUUGUCUCAAAUCGUGCUAAAUCUUUGAUUCCCGAGCGUUUUUCUUUUUCCCUAUUUUCGGAGCUAUUUUUGGAGAAUUUUUGUUCAUCAUGUUUGAGCCCGAAUCUCAUGGUUUUGGUUGAAGAGAAAUGUUGCUAGGAUCUUAGGGAGCAUCUUUCAUAUGAUCCCCCUCCAAAUCCCUCACAAAUCCGGCUUGAAUUUUAAAUUUCUUCCAAAACCGUGUUGAGUUAGGGUUUCGAUUUUCUCCAAAAUCCGUGAUGGAUACUUGAGAUUUUUGAGAUCUUUUUCAUGGAUCUAUUAGCACUUGGAGUUGCGCAUCUAUGGCUCAAGUUUUGUCUCGAUUCAUGGAGUUUUGAGGGAGUAUUUUUAGUUUGAAGUUUGAGUGGUGUUCUUGGAGUUCUUGUUUUCCCUCUGUCUGUUCGUGCGCAGGAACAGGGAAGCGAGGCAGCGAGCGAGCCAGAGCAGCGAGUAGCACGUGCACGCGUGCCAGCAGCGAAGCAGAUCAGAGCAAGGAGGCGGCCCAGCAAGCAGCAAGUGCUGCAGCCCAGGUGCGUGUGCAGCAGGCCAGCAAGCAGCGGUCCACGCAGCAGCAUUUGUGGGCUGGUAGCGCAACAGGCCACCAGGCCGCACGUCCACGGGCCGCACGCAAGGCAACUCUGGUCUAGCAGUUCAGGAUUUGAAGGAUCCCAAAGACCUGAGCUACUUCAGGAGGAAGAAGUCAAGUGAAAGACACUCCAGUCGUGAGUGUACAGGUAUGGACUUGGAGAGGAAGACCGAUCUCGAAGAAUUCGUGAAGGAAGGGUCGCGUUGCUUUGCUCAAGGAUGCCUAUGGUGAAGACUCGGGGAAGACCGGAAAUGAAGCCUUGAAGCCCUAGUUUCUGCUGCGUAUGGGUUUUGUUUGUCGUUAGCCCAAGCGGCCUAUACCUUAUUCAUAUUUCGAGUUGUUUCGGAUGUAUAUAUGAAAUGUUGUACUCUGAUUUUGUUGUAUGGAA